AUAAUGAUACUUGCGCAUAGUCGAGGUUAGGUCCCAGAGUGCGCCCCGGUCGCUGACGGGGAGGUGAAAUUCCUAUGA
rfam:Thermotalea metallivorans strain B2-1 AN619_contig000026, whole genome shotgun sequence.